GAGCAUUUUGGUCAGUUCUUGGUUUAAAACACAGUGAUAUUUGACUCUUAUACUGGAACAAAACAUGGCUCAAGUCUUGAUUUCAUUAACAUUUAUUUACUAUCUUGUAUGUUUUGUUUGUAAUAAGUUUUCACAAAUGGACUGACUGUCUGCAUUAACUGACUUUAUUUCUGCUUUCAUUGUUUUCAUUCUACAUUUAUCAAAUUCUAAGUGUGUCUUUAAAAAAAAAAACAAAUAAAAAAUUACACCCUUUCUGCUUUUAGUAAAUAAUACACUUAAAGACAUGAUAACUAUUGCCAAUGAAAAUUAUUUGGCCACUUUUUUUAAGUAUCUUC